rnacentral:rRNA from 1 species
UACAGAGGUGGCAAGCGUUGUUCGGAAUUACUGGGCGUAAAGGGCGCGUAGGCGGUUCGUUAAGUCCUGUGUGAAAUCUCCCGGCUCAACUGGGAGGGGACGGCCGAUACGGCUGGGCUUGAGCGAGGUAGGGGAGAGUGGAAUUCCCGGUGUAGUGGUGGAAUGCGUAGAUAUCGGGAGGAACACCAGUGGCGAAGGCGGCUCUCUGGACCUCUGCUGACGCUGAGGCGCGAAAGCGUGGGGAGCGAUCCGG